UUGACCAGAUUGGAUCAUAACAGGGCAUUGGGACAAAUAUCUGAGAAACUGAAUGUCCAAGUAUCUGAUGUUAAGAAUGUGAUUAUUUGGGGAAAUCAUUCAUCAUCUCAGUACCCUGAUGUCAACCAUGCAACUGUCAAUACUGCAGCUGGGGAAAAGCCUGUCCGUGAGCUUGUCAAGGAUGAUGCAUGGUAUUAAACUUAAAUAUUUUUCUCCCCUUGAUUAAUAGUAAAGUUUGGUGAUUUUUUUUGGUUGAGUUAUUAUUUUUGUAAUGAUUUCAUACAUGGAUUGAAGGUUGAAUGGAGAAUUCAUAACCACAGUCCAACAACGUGGUGCUGCAAUCAUCAAAGCCAGAAAGCUCUCGAGUGCUCUGUCUGCUGCUAGCUCUGCUUGUGACCAUAUCCGUGAUUGGGUUCUUGGAACUCCUGAGGUUGGUAGUCUUCUCAUUUUUACUCCAAUGAUAUAUACUGAAUUGGUGUCAUGGCUUGAACCGUGGACUGCAAUUGUAGGGCACCUGGGUCUCCAUGGGGGUAUACUCUGAUGGUUCAUACAAUGUACCAGCUGGGCUCAUUUACUCAUUCCCAGUAACCUGCCG
rnacentral:lncRNA from 1 species